UUGAUCGAUAGUCCUGUGCUGGCUCAUCUGGCUUCCAUCCACGUGCUGCUACAGAGGGAGAGAAAAUCAAAGAGCCACACGCAGGAUGGCCAGGUCUCCAAUUCAAUACAUGGCAGCAGCUUGAUCAAUAACUUGUUGGAAGGGACACUUCCUGCUCUUCCACAUCAUUAUGAAAACUGCUGGUGACAACGCAUCCGAUCCCAGUACUGGGAGCUCCUCAGAAGGACUCGUAACAAAACACGCUCUUGAGCCUGGAGGUUUUUUUUUCCUGCAAAUCUUCCAAGUUUGGAUCUUCUUUAUCUUCCAGAUCAGAGGUGAAAUGCAUGCUGCUUUUCCACGCGCACAAAUAUGGAGCUGCUGUGAAAGCAUCUGAAUAUGUAGAAAAAUAAGUCAGUGAAAAUCAUUCGUGGAGUCUGGAGGGUAUUUCCUACAGUACUGCAGUUGUAAGCAGACAGGUCACACCUCAUGGAUGAAACAAGAAACUUUUCCUCACCACAGCAACACUAGAGGGGCCUGCCUUACUGGAAGGUUAAGGGCCUCCAGAUCAUCUUGACACAUGCUCCAAAAGUGGUACCUUUCUAUUUCUUGCUCUUUCCUGACAACAACCUUCCCUUUCAACACUCAGCAAUUCCAUUUCUAGAAGGAAAUAUAUACAAAGGCAAUUCAGCACCACCUCUGUAAGCUCACUAAUUUGUAAGAGUCACUGGGAAGUCCUGCAGGCCAAGAAUGGAAGUGUAUCUGUAAGUGAUAGUUGGUUAGAUUACAGUGCUAAUAGCACUGAGGUUGUGGAAUUGAUCCCUGUAUGGGCCAUUCACUUAAGAGCUGGACUGGAUGAUCCUUGUGAGUCCUUUCCAACUCAGAAUAUUUUCUGAUACACAUUUCAAGCUCUGAAGGUAAAAAACAACAGUAGUUCUUCUGCUCCAAAUAAGGUGCACUUCAUUCUAAUCCUGACAUCUAUCACACUUUCAAGUGAACAAUGACUCAUGGCCUUUCAUCAUUUGUGUUUGUCACACAAAUCUAAUUUAACCUCAUAAAUUCCCAAAGAGAAAAAAAAUGUUUUGUAGGAGUUGCUAUGCUUAUACCACAAAUAACAUUGCUACAAACAAAUUGCUAAAUGUGACCUGCCUCUCCUAAGGACCCGUGAUCCUGAAGCAAACCAAUUAUGUAAAAUCAUCAAACCCAGCAGAGAAGAAGCCAGAGGAAUUACAGAAAGGACUUAGUAGUGGGAGCAAAUUAAAUGGAUGAAUUUGUGUGGUUUGCCUUGCUGCAGCAAGCAGAUAUGCACAAAGGGGGAGAAACUGCUGACUGAAUGGACUUGGGACCCUGAGACAGAGAAAUCCUUGGGGAAAGUAAACCAGAAGUUUGUGCACCAUGGAGCACAUUGACGGACAAAUGGACUGUAUCACUAACAGAAAAACAGAGCAAAUACAUAAAAGAUAUUGGCAAAACCAACAGGUAGAUAUAUCUCAAUAGACUCUUGUGCUGUGAGGGGGAAAGACAGCAAUGUCAUUUAUCUGCUGGUGAAAAGCCAAUAGCAGACCAGGCACUCCUCCUGCAGAGUCAACAAAAGCAACAGGAACUGCAGCUUGCACUUCAGCAGGAGAGGCUGUUGCAAUGUUCGCUGGCAUGGGGCCUGGGCAGUACUGCAGGACUGGCAGAAGGUGGUUUGGGCCAACUGAGCUCAGGGCUGAUGGAGCUCAAAUACACAUGCACACCUGUAUCUCUGGAUGCCUAAUGCUGCUGCUGCUGCAGAGGGUUAAAAGUGAGCUACAGAAAACCUUCCCUCAACAAAGGAAGGCCACACAGCAUAGGAAGUGUUGAGCUGUUUGGCUCUAGUUCUGGCCAGCCUGAGACUGGCUCCAGAAGCAUACUCUCAUGGCAUCUGGCGUGCAUUCUAUUAAUGAGGAAUGUGCUCAUUUAUACCCAGAGAACAUCACUACCUGCCUGUCCAGAGAUGAAAAUGGCCUUGGAAUUACUUCCACAGGGUGUGCUGCUAGAGUAAAUGGAUUGCCACCCUGAGAAUUUCUCUGUCAGUAACAUGACGGAGGAAGUGGUGUGGAAGAAAUGAAUUCAUGUUAGACUACAGCAUUUUGCUACAAGAGGUAAAGAAGAACUAUUAGUCCUACACCAGCUUACAGAAGGUUCUUCUGAGAGCAGGGAUACUCCAAUGAUACACAGCUGACAUGCAAACUUGCACAAGGGAAGGGAUUGUUCACUGGAGCAUAUACAGGCAUGUGCCCACCAUAUACAGAUAAGUGUGCCAUUUGAGACAUGGAGCUGUUCAACAGGGCAGUUAGAGAAACACCUGAGUGGUGAGUGCUAUAAUGUUGAAUUGAGAACAAAUGGUCUUAAAUUGUGUGGGAACUCCACUGUGAACUAAAUGAAAAACCAAGAGAAGUCUGGUAACUACACGGCCAGGAUUCCUUAGGGAACAACAGCCAAAAAGCCUUAAGCAGAUUGGUAAAAGAGCUAUGCGGACCCAGACAUCUUUAGGCAUUAAAGAAAGUUGGCGUAUCAGUACACAGACAUUACAGCCCUGAAACAGAACAUCAUUGAGAAAUCUGUGUGGUAAUGGGAUGGGUCCCCGUCAAACUGUACAACUGAGUUUGGACAAGACCCUGAGUAAGGAUGUGUGUGCUGCCAGGGACUGGUGCCUUAAAUGCCUGCAGUAAGUAAUAUAAAUAUGGUGACUCUCAGAGUGCUGGGAAGGAAUCAGGCAACUCUACAAAGCUCAUCUGAGGAGGAAAUGGUUUGGAGCAGGUGACAGCCUACAGUUCCCACAGACUCAGACCAAGAUAAGAGCACAAAGGGCCUGCUUCAAGCAGGGAAACAACCAUGCUCUAAUCUGAUCCCUUGCUUCUAAGGUUUGAAGAAUUUUACUGGCUUUAAGCAUCUUCCAUCUUUUCUGAGCUGAAGGACACAUCUGACAGCUACGUAUGUGCUGGUCAAGUGUGGAAGAAUACAACUGUAUUUACAUGUUCUGUGCUGGAAGGAUUAUUUUCCUUCAAAUAUUAGAAAAUAAAUCUUUUCUUUUACCUCAGUCCUCAUUUACAACAACAGAAGGGUAUUCUGGGAGGUUUUAAAGUGACUUUAACCUGAUGUUGUUGUUUUCAAUAUAGGAGCUAUUAAGAACUUUCAUUGUUAUAUAGUUCAUGUUGUAAAUUAUUUCCAUAGCAACCCGAUCGUGUCAUAUAUUCUGGGCUAUAACUCAGAGGGAGAGGGGAUGGGAAAAGCACAGAAUAGAGACUACAGAGCAAAACCUGUCCCGAUUAUUACCUGAAUCUUGAAUGUUCUUUUUAGUACAAUUUGCUUAAGCAGUGUUUAUUUCCAGGCAAUGUUGAGGAUCCAGCCAGGCUGCACCUGCCUUCCCAGACAUGCUCAAACACAGCCUAGGAUUGCACAUCUUCAAGGGAGAGCAGGGUGGGGUUCCUUCAAAUGACAGAACCUUCUGCAAGGAGGAAGCUUCAAGCUGUAACUUGCAAAAUAUGUACUGUAAAAAUCCAGCUAUCAGAACACGGAAGAUCUAUGUAGAGACCUGCAACUAAUCAUGCAAAAACCUGAAAGGAGCUGCUCUUUGUAUUAAGCAUGUGCAGUGCAGUUCUCAAGAAAUGCUGUCAUCAGUUCUAGCAUGAGGAAAGACAGGUACAAAAGAGAAUGAGAAUUUCUGCAUUGCUUCCUGGUAUUUAACUGUCACACAAGCCACUAGACAUUCUAUCAAGGCUGCUGACUAAUUGUUAGCAGAAUGUGACUAGAUAUCCACAGAUCACUCAACUGAUACUGUCCUUGAUGCCCACACCUCUUACUGCCUCCCUUCCAGCUGAAAUGGUGCAGUGAGCACAGCUGAAUGAGUUCAGUUGGAUUAACAGAAAAGUUGACUCCUGGAUGGGAGGGUGAUGAGCUGGGUGUUGGAGUCAGAGAAUCACUCAAAACCACAGCAAAUGUUUGCCAAAAAUGAGUAUAUACACUUAGCAAGGUACAGCUUUUGAAAGGCUGCAUCUUUUUGAUAAGAUACACAGUAUAAUCUUUAAUUGCAGGAGAUGGGAUAAAAUAAAUGUGCCAACUGGCCUUUCUUAUCAAUGCAGUCUGAAUUCUUCACGGAGGAAUUAUCUUUACAUGUCACAGGGAGUCAAGAACAUCAACAAUACUUGAGCAAGUAAUAAAAAAUACUCCAAAAUUUACUGCUGCAGGAAGACAAGAGCCCUUUCAGUUGUUUUAAUCUCAGAUGUUUUAUACCUUGUCUUUUUAUUUUACAGAAAUCAGUUAUAGACAUUGAGUGAGUUCUAAGAGAAAAUGUCUAGCAUAUCAAGCUAGAUCAAAUAAACUUUCAACAUCUACAAGUCAGUGGCCUAUAUUUUCCAGUAGCAGACCAGAUAUUCAGGAUUCCCACUCCCUCCCUAAUUUUGCCCCUAGCUCUUACAUACAUUAAACCUACAAAAGUGUAUUGUCCUUACUCCAGCAGUGUGCCAGUCUGGACACGUUCGAAUGAAAACCUGAGCUCCACUAUGAUCUUGUCUCUUGUUGCCAUGAUGUGUGCAGUGAAGAGGAAGAUUGCCUCAGAUAAUCCGGAAUAUAGCAAUUCAAAGCAACCCCGUCCUGUCUUUGAUUUGGAUGUGGUGUGCUUUCCAUCAUAGCCAAAGGGGAGCUCCUACCUCUGACACACAGGUAUGCACUCUUCUUCACCCCAGCCCU